rnacentral:rRNA from 1 species
GUCAUAUGCUUGUCUCAAAGAUUAAGCCAUGCAUGUCUCAGUACAAGCCAAAUUAAGGUGAAACCGCGAAAGGCUCAUUAAAUCAGUUAUGGUUCCUUAGAUCGUACCCACAAUUACUUGGAUAACUGUGGUAAUUCUAGAGCUAAUACAUGCAAACAGAGCUCCGACCGGAGACGGAAGGAGUGCUUUUAUUAGAUCAAAACCAAUCGGUGGCGGGUUCGCUCGUUAUCGUACAACUUGGUGACUCUGAAUAACUUUACGCUGAUCGCACGGUCAUCGCACCGGCGACGCAUCUUUCAAAUGUCUGCCUUAUCAACUGUCGAUGGUAGGUUCUGCGCCUACCAUGGUCGUAACGGGUAACGGGGAAUCAGGGUUCGAUUCCGGAGAGGGAGCCUGAGAAACGGCUACCACAUCCAAGGAAGGCAGCAGGCGCGCAAAUUACCCACUCCCGGCACGGGGAGGUAGUGACGAAAAAUAACGAUACGGGACUCAUCCGAGGCCCCGUAAUCGGAAUGAGUACACUCUAAACCCUUUAACGAGGAUCAAUUGGAGGGCAAGUCUGGUGCCAGCAGCCGCGG